UGUGAUGUAGCUCAGUUGUAGAGCACUUGUCUACCAUGCAGGAGGCCCUGAAUUUGAUCCCUAGCACUGCAA
rnacentral:tRNA from 1 species